rnacentral:rRNA from 1 species
UACGUAGGGUGCAAGCGUUGUCCGGAAUUAUUGGGCGUAAAGAGCUCGUAGGCGGUUUGUCGCGUCUGCUGUGAAAACUCGGGGCUUAACCCCGGGCCUGCAGUGGGUACGGGCAGACUAGAGUGCGGUAGGGGAGACUGGAAUUCCUGGUGUAGCGGUGAAAUGCGCAGAUAUCAGGAGGAACACCGGUGGCGAAGGCGGGUCUCUGGGCCGUAACUGACGCUGAGGAGCGAAAGCGUGGGGAGCAAACGGG